UACGGAGGAGGCAAGCGUUAUCCGGAAUUAUUGGGCGUAAAGCGUCCGCAGGUGGCUAUUCAAGUCUGCGGUCAAAGACUGGGGCUUAACCCUGGAAAGGCCGUGGAAACUGAAGAGCUAGAGUGCAGUAGGGGUAGAGGGAAUUCCCGGUGUAGCGGUGAAAUGCGUAGAGCUCGGGAAGAACAUCGGUGGCGAAGGCGGUCUUCUGGACGGUGACUGACGCUGAGGCGCGAAAGCGUGGGGAGCAAACGGG
rnacentral:rRNA from 1 species